GAUGACGGUAUAAAGAGCAGAGGGGAGAGAGAUCCAUGGCAGUUCUAGAGGCUGUGAACUCUAAAAUCAGAGGCCCUGACCGAUUUUGCAUCUGAUGAGGUCCUUUUUCUUGAUUCAAAGAUGCUGCAUCCUCUCAUAAUGAAAAGGAGUUUAAUUCAAACAAAUACAGCAUUUAGCUACAAGUGAUCAGACAAAGGACAGAAAAUGCAGGUGGACACAGAAAACUAGAGUUUGGAGUUUGAGGAAAUUGGACCCAGAGAAGGAAUAUAUAUAGGUGCUGAGGUUGCAAAGAAAGAUGAUGGUUUCACUCUCAGAUUCUACUGAAGAUGCACAAUAUGGCGGCAACUGCACAAAUAAGAGGAGACAACUGGUGCCUAAGAAAAUUGACUUCCCCAUGGCCACAGAGUUAGUCAAAACCAGGUCUACAUCCAGUCCCUGGAAUCCUGCCACAGACCCUCUGUAUUAUACUUUUGACUUUUUGAAACAACUGAACCACUCCUUGAACCACAUGAAUUCUGCCAUCUUUGUAAUGUGCUCUAAUUUGCUGGAGUCCCUCUCAGAGUAUAGGGUUCAGUUCAUAUCAGUUAAUAAAUAACUCAGCACAAUGGAAUUACUGACUUCUUUGAACUGAAUAAGAAUUUUCGAAACAUAAAGCAAUGCAGUAAUUUCUGCAGCUAUGUCCCAGUAUUGACUAAUGGGGUAAUUGUCAUUCACUGGAAUACCGAGAAUUAUUCUUUUCAAAUAAAUAUUCAAGUAAGAUCUC